AGUGCGACAAGGCAGGCCACGCCCCCUCGCUCCGCCUCCGCAGCUUCGGGUAGACACACACAAACAACCAGCUUGCUGCAGCCUGGCACAAAGAGGGCGCACUGCGCAGGCGCUGCCAGCGAGCUCUUUUGGGAAGAAUCGGUCCCGCGAACAAUGAAAUUGGGUUUCCGCCCCACCCUCUUUACUCCUCCCCAGCACGCCCCUGCGCUUCGCCGGGCUAGGGAGUGGUGGUACUGAAAUGUCCCGGCGGAGUUUGUUGAUGGGGGUGGGGAAGGGAGGGGGCAGGGGGAGGGCGGCAGGAAGAACGGGGGCUGGGAAGAGGGGAUGACUUUGGCAAGGCCACGGUUGCCUCCUCCGCUGCUGACCUUGGGGAAGUAUCCGUUUUAUUUUCAGCCCAACAUAACAGCGUUAUCAUUUUAAAACAAAGAUUUCUAAGUACGCUGUAAGGAUUUCUUCCCUAGCAAUCGUGAAGAAAAUCAGUCUACAUUUAAAUUUUAUCUACUG
rnacentral:lncRNA from 10 species